rnacentral:lncRNA from 1 species
UCCGCGCGAGCAGCUAGCCGGGCUGGCUCUCGGUGUGUGCCCUUCGGAUGGUCGGCUGGAGAGGGCAGCCAGCUGGACUUCUGUAGACAAGACAGAUACUGUAAAGACAGCAAAGAACAAACAGAAUGGCAGAUUGCUAAUGUUUGAUCCAAAGGAAAAAGUGAUGAUUGAAUCAAACAAAGCAAUGUCAGAGUAAGAAGAUGUUUUUGAUUGUGUAGCUGAUCUCUCCUAUGCCUUUUAAGCAAUUAGAACUAGAUAAUGCAGCCAUUUGUCACCCAAUUAAAUUUGAAAGGCCAGAAAUGCGUGGAUUAGCACUUCAGGUUUUGCUGCAGUCAAAGCAAUUGUUACUUAGAUAGAAGGACAGUUAAAAUGCAAAAUGAAUUUUGAUAAAAAUGUAGAAGUAUAGAUAAUAUUCACUUCUACUUUUUAAUGCUUAAACACCCUGUAUUCCAUAUUUUACUUGUAUCAUAAUUUUCAUUGCUCAUUCCUGUUUCCCUUUGAUACUUAUUUCUUUCACAAUAUUUCUUCAAGUGAAUAUGUACUUUAAAAUUAAACAAAUUAUUUACUAUAACAUGAAUUGUUACUACUCAAUAAAGAAAAUAAUCACCUCAACUAGUUGAAGAAACUGGUGUUAAAAAAACUGUAUUGUUUCCAGCCUUU